CUUACGUCUCGUACGUGACCUGCGGAGGGAUCAUUACACAAAUAUGAAGGCGGGCUGGAACCUCUCGGGGUUACAGCCUUGCUGAAUUAUUCACCCUUGUCUUUUGCGUACUUCUUGUUUCCUUGGUGGGUUCGCCCACCACUAGGACAAACAUAAACCUUUUGUAAUUGCAAUCAGCGUCAGUAACAAAUUAAUAAUUACAACUUUCAACAACGGAUCUCUUGGUUCUGGCAUCGAUGAAGAACGCAGCGAAAUGCGAUAAGUAGUGUGAAUUGCAGAAUUCAGUGAAUCAUCGAAUCUUUGAACGCACAUUGCGCCCUUUGGUAUUCCAAAGGGCAUGCCUGUUCGAGCGUCAUUUGUACCCUCAAGCUUUGCUUGGUGUUGGGCGUCUUGUCUCUAGCUUUGCUGGAGACUCGCCUUAAAGUAAUUGGCAGCCGGCCUACUGGUUUCGGAGCGCAGCACAAGUCGCACUCUCUAUCAGCAAAGGUCUAGCAUCCAUUAAGCCUUUUUUUCAACUUUUGACCUCGGAUCAGGUAGGGAUACCCGCUGAACUUAA
rnacentral:rRNA from 1 species